GCCGGGCGAGGUGGCGGGCGCCUGUAGUCCCAGCUACUCGGGAGGCUGAGGCAGGAGAAUGGCGUGAACCCGGGAGGCGGAGCUUGCAGUGAGCUGAUCUUGGCUCACUGCAACCUCUGCCUCCCGGGUUUAAGCGAUUCUCCUGCCUCAG
rnacentral:sRNA from 1 species